rnacentral:rRNA from 1 species
UACGAAGGGGGCUAGCGUUGCUCGGAAUCACUGGGCGUAAAGGGUGCGUAGGCGGGUCUUUAAGUCAGGGGUGAAAUCCUGGAGCUCAACUCCAGAACUGCCUUUGAUACUGAAGAUCUUGAGUUCGGGAGAGGUGAGUGGAACUGCGAGUGUAGAGGUGAAAUUCGUAGAUAUUCGCAAGAACACCGGUGGCGAAGGCGGCUUCCUGGACUGACACUGACGCUGAGGCGCGAAAGCGUGGGGAGCGAACAGG